UAAUUAUUCAAUUCAUAAUUAUAUAAUUUAACAAUAACUAUAUAUUUGAAAUUAAUUACUUUUUCUUGGUGCCUAGAUAUGUUAUAUUGUUCGAGUAUUUAUAAGCUUUAAAUCUUUAAAUAAUACUACCAAGAAAAGAAAAAAAAUAGUCUGGUUUCUUUUAAGUUUUAAGUUUUAUUUUAUUUUUUAUUAUUAUUUUUUUCUUCUGAUAGGAAACAAUGAAUUGAACUUCAUUACUGUUAAAACCUUGUUCUGUUAUGCUAAACUCUUGUUUGGGAUCGACCAGUGCAUCAGUUUUUCAAGUGUUGGAGAUGCUUCAGUUUCCCAUCUCUACUAUUGCUUUUGAGUUGGCAUUCAGCUUUGGGGUCGUGUGUAAGAUUCAUUUCAAAACUCCUUGGCCCCAAAAACAGUUGAAGCUCUUAUUUGCAGAGAAAAUUGGUUGAAAGCUCCUUCCAUUAAUCAUAACUCCCAAGAAUUAAUGGAAGAUGUCGAAAGCUAUAAGCUGAAAAAUAGUAAGAUUCAUUUUGAAAUAUCAUAUAUUUUCCUGUGGUUUCUUUAAUAAUUAUAUUUUUAAAAUAGUAUUUUUUCUUCAUGUAGUGACAACUUUAAAUAAUAAUGUUUUGAAUUUAGAUGGUUGAAAAAUACGAGGGAUAUGAUUCAGUUCCAGCAGAGGUUCCUGACCCAAAAGCCAAAAGGGUUAGUUUAGCUUAAGAAGCCAUAGCAUAAGCAAGGCCAUGUGUAUGAAUUGCUGCUUGGCUUUAAUAAUGUUGACAAAACUGGCCACCUUUUGGAUCUUAGUUUGCAAUCCAAAAGAUUGCUUCAUUUUAAUCUAUUCUCCUUGUUUCUAUUUUUUUUUUUUUUUAUGUUGACUGCUGCUAUUUUGUGACAUGAUACAUUUGAAAAGCAUUAAAACUAAUAUUAAAGAAGAUGAAAACAUCUCACAAUUCUUUUCCAUUAUAACCCUGAUCAUUGGGUUGAAGAAGAGGAUGGAAUAUGGAAACCCUCCAAGGUACCUAAUCCACAUUUAAAGGACCAAUAUGGAAGUGCAAGGUAUGACAAUUAAGCUUAAUUACUACAUAAAAAGCUUGAAGCAGGCCCCGUUUGUUUACACAAAUCCUCUCAUCUCAUCUCAUCUAAUUAUUAUAACUUUUCUAAACUUCCAAAUAUAAUACAAUAAACAAUUCAAUUUUUUUAAAUAAAAAAAAA